rnacentral:rRNA from 1 species
CCUACGGGCGGCAGCAGUGGGGAAUUUUGGACAAUGGGCGCAACCCUGAUCCAGCCAUGCCGCGUGUCUGAAGAAGGCCUUCGGGUUGUAAAGGACUUUUGUUAGGGAAGAAAAGGCAUUUGCUAAUAACGGAUGCUGAUGACGGUACCUAAAGAAUAAGCACCGGCUAACUACGUGCCAGCAGCCGCGGUAAUACGUAGGGUGCGAGCGUUAAUCGGAAUUACUGGGCGUAAAGCGAGCGCAGACGGUUAAUUAAGCCAGAUGUGAAAUCCCCGAGCUUAACUUGGGACGUGCAUUUGGAACUGGUUAGCUAGAGUAUGUCAGAGGGGGGUAGAAUUCCACGUGUAGCAGUGAAAUGCGUAGAGAUGUGGAGGAAUACCGAUGGCGAAGGCAGCCCCCUGGGAUAAUACUGACGUUCAUGCUCGAAAGCGUGGGUAGCAAACAGGAUUAGAUACCCUAGUAGUC